AUGAGUGAGAUCCUAUGGUAUGGUGAUGCUAAUGAGAAUCCUAUCAGACCAGACAACACAUCUGUGUCUAUAACUGAAGGACACAACAUCACUCUGUCCUGUAAAUAUGAUGGAUCAGCUUACAGUCUUCACUGGUACCGGCAGACGUCUGGAUCAACACCAGAGUUUCUAGUGCUUAUAAUGGAGUCCACUAAACAUAUCACCAAAUCUACUCCACCUCAAGCACACAUGAGCAUCAGACUUCAUGAUAAACACGUGUAUCUGGAGAUCUCCUCUGUUAAAGUCACAGACUCUGCUCUGUAUUAA